UUGAAAGCUACAUGAGACUUGCUGGUGUUCUUUAUCUUAAUAGCACUUUGAACUUGCUUACCAGGGGAAGUAGAGCUUAUUCGGAGGAUCAAGACGGAGACGACGUCGUAUCGGAAGAAGAGAUCUAGCAACCGAUGAAACGGAGUUGGUGGAGCUAGGGUUACUGCUGUUGUUGUUGUGAGCUUCAAUUUGGUACGAUGAAGAUGAAGAAGAAG
rnacentral:lncRNA from 1 species